rnacentral:rRNA from 1 species
GCAGCAGUGGGGAAUAUUGGACAAUGGGCGAAAGCCUGAUCCAGCAAUGCCGCGCGAGUGAUGAAGGCCUUAGGGUUGUAAAGCUCUUUUACCAGGGAUGAUAAUGACAGUACCUGGAGAAUAAGCUCCGGGCUAACUCCGUGCCAGCAGCCGCGGUAAUACGGAGGGAGCUAGCGUUGUUCGGAAUUACUGGGCGUAAAGCGCGCGUAGGCGGUCCAUCAAGUCAGAGGUGAAAGCCCGGGGCUCAACCCCGGAACUGCCUUUGAAACUGGCGGACUAGAAUCUUGGAGAGGCGAGUGGAAUUCCGAGUGUAGAGGUGAAAUUCGUAGAUAUUCGGAAGAACACCAGUGGCGAAGGCGACUCGCUGGACAAGUAUUGACGCUGAGGUGCGAAAGCGUGGGGAGCAAGCAGGAUUAGAUACCCUGGUAGUCCACGCCGUAAACGAUGAUAACUAGCUGUCCGGGCUCAUGGAGUUUGGGUGGCGCAGCUAACGCAUUAAGUUAUCCGCUUGGGGAGUACGGUCGCAAGAUUAAAACUCAAAGGAAUUGACGGGGGCCUGCACAAGCGGUGGGGCAUGUGGUUUAAUUCGAAGCAACGCGCAGAACCUUACCAGCCUUUGACAUCCCGGUCGCGAAUAGCAGAGAUGCUUUUCUUCAGUUCGGCUGGACCGGUGACAGGUGCUGCAUGGCUGUCGUCAGCUCGUGUCGUGAGAUGUUGGGUUAAGUCCCGCAACGAGCGCAACCCUCGUCCUUAGUUGCCAUCAUUUGGUUGGGCACUUUAAGGAAACUGCCGGUGAUAAGCCGGAGGAAGGUGGGGAUGACGUCAAGUCCUCAUGGCCCUUACAGGCUGGGCUACACACGUGCUACAAUGGCGGUGACAGUGAGCAGCGAUCCCGCAAGGGUUAGCUAAUCUCCAAAAGCCGUCUCAGUUCGGAUUGUUCUCUGCAACUCGAGAGCAUGAAGGCGGAAUCGCUAGUAAUCGCGGAUCAGCAUGCCGCGGUGAAUACGUUCCCAGGCCUUGUACACACCGCC